UACGUAGGCAGCAAGCGUUGUUCGGAGUUACUGGGCGUAAAGAGCGCGCAGGCGGUCGAUUUAGUCGUGUGUGAAAGCCCUCGGCUCACCCGAGGAUCUGCAUCUCAAACUGCCUGGCUUGAGUAUGGGAGAGGAUGAGGGAAUUCCUGGUGUAGCGGUGAAAUGCGUAGAUAUCAGGAGGAACACCGGUGGCGAAGGCGCUCAUCUGGCCCAAUACUGACGCUGAGGCGCGAAAGCUAGGGGAGCAAACGGG
rnacentral:rRNA from 1 species